rnacentral:rRNA from 1 species
UACGGGGGGGGCAAGCGUUGUUCGGAAUUACUGGGCGUAGAGGGCUCGUAGGCGGCCAACUAAGUCGGACGUGAAAUCCCCAGGCUCAACCUGGGAACUGCGUCCGAUACUGGAUGGCUUGAAUUCGGGAGAGGGAUGCAGAAUUCCAGGUGUAGCGGUGAAAUGCGUAGAUAUCUGGAGGAAUACCGGUGGCGAAGGCGGCAUCCUGGACCGACAUUGACGCUGAUGAGCGAAAGCUAGGGGAGCAAACGGG